rnacentral:rRNA from 1 species
CAGGGAAUCUUGCGCAAUGGGCGAAAGCCUGACGCAGCGACACCGCGUGGGGGAUGAAGGCUUUCGAGUUGUAAACCCCUUUUCUCGGGGAUGAGAAAGGACAGUACCCGGGGAAUAAGGUUCGGCUAACUACGUGCCAGCAGCCGCGGUAACACGUAGGAACCAAGCGUUGUCCGGAUUUACUGGGCGUAAAGUGCGCGUAGGCGGCUCGUUAAGUCUCAUGUGAAAUCUCCCGGCUCAACUGGGAGGGGUCAUGGGAAACUGGCAGGCUUGAGUGCAGUAGAGGGGAGCGGAAUUCCCGGAGUAGUGGUGGAAUGCGUAGAUACCGGGAGGAACACCAGAGGCGAAGGCGGCUCCCUGGGCUGUGUCUGACGCUGAGGCGCGAAAGCGUGGGUAGCAAACCGGAUUAGAUACCCGCGUAGUCC